AAGUCUAGCCCAAUGCUCUCUUCUCUUGUAAAAUUGAGAAAACUCCUUUUAGAAAUUUGUUAAUGAAAUCUCGCAAAGAGCUCGGAAGCUUAAUUCUUCGUCUCCAGAAUCCCAAUUCCGAUCCUCAUUCCUGACUUCAUUGGUUUUUUUUCAUUCUCUCACUCACUCACUACCCUCGCAAAGAGCAGAAUUUGAAGGCUUUCUCAUUCCAAGAGCUCAGGGAUUCAACCAAUGGCUUCAGCAGGUCGCAAAAGCUUGGUGAAGGAGGCUUUGGGAGUGUGUAUGAAGGAAUAAUCAAGCCCAAAAAUGGUUGCCAUAAAGAAGUUGAAUCCACAUAGCUUACAGGUCAUAAAGCAUGGCUUGCAGAGGUUCAAUUUCUUGGUGUGGUAAAUCACCCAAAUCUGGUAAAGCUUCCAGGAUAUUGCUCUAUAAAUGGAGAAAGAGGGAUUCAACGGCUAGUGGUAUAUGAAUAUAUGCCUAAUAGAAGCUUAGAAGAUCAUCUUUUCAACAGGGCUUUGAACCCUCUUCCUUGGAUCACGAGGUUACAAAUAAUGCUUGGUGCUGCUCAAGGAUUGGCUUAUCUACACGAGGAACUGGAAGUCCAGAUUAGAAGUAUAUAGAGAUUAAAUGGUGGACACUGUCACUUCAGUAACCGUCCAUUAUCUUGAAUGUAUUCCGUACUCUAAAAACUUUAGCUGUUGGGACCCUGUGGUUGUGUCACAUGGUAUAAGAGUUCUUGAGUUCGCAGUUGUUCGGAAAUCCUCAAGGGCUUAUUGAGUGCGCCAAGGCUUUGGAUCAGAUCAGAUGAAUCGAUUUUGGGUGUAAUUUGCUCUAACAAAAACAAAGCAAAACCAAGGAUCAUGGAACACAUGCAUAAGUCAUUGGCAACUGCAACUUCUCAAGCUCAAGGAGCUUGUGCUGACCCCAUGGUAGACAGAUUGAGUAGUGUUCCAUGCGAAGUUGCUCACCAAAUUCUUUCAUUGGUCAGUUUUAAAGAUCUCACUCGCGUGGGCAGCAUGUCCAAAAGAUGCAGAGAGUUUUAUCUAUCAACUCCAUCAUUGAAUUUUUCUUCCUUGUAUGGAAACAGGUAGCAGCAAUUGCACUUGCUGAAUUGUAUAGAUAGGUAUAUGAUUCGUCGCAGGGAUGAUAAGAUAAAGAGCUUUCGUAUUCAUUGGAGUUUCUCUGCAGGAAUUUCAGAAGAGAGUUUCCGAAUGAUGACUUGGAUCCUUAUUGCAGUGAGGUGCAAUGUUGAAGUGCUUGAUCUUGAGUUGAGGUUGAAUACAAAAGAUGGGGCAACACCUGAAUUGCCACCUUGCAUCUAUUGCUGUGAAUCUUUGAGGUCAAUGUUGAUCAACACAGAGACAAUUCUUAAAGCACCCUCCUUUGCUUGUUCCAAUAAUCUCCAAUACUUGAAGUUGACAAGUGUUAGAAUGGAUGAUGGCUUUGGCAAAUGGAUCUCGGGCUCAUGCAAAUGCAUUAAGGAACUAUUGUUAGACAAUGUCCAUGUGGGAAAUUUCACCAUUGAAAGCUCGUCUUUGGAAUCAUUUACGUUGUUGUAUUGCCAUAAUAAUGACAGGGGUCACUUUAGCAUCUCAGGUGAGAAACUUGCUGAGAUAAAUAUAGAGUGGGAGAAUAAUAAAGCUAGCAGCAGUAUUACCAGAUUAUUAAAUGUUUAUGCUCCAAAUCUCAAGUAUUUGAAAUGGAUUGGGAAUUUGUUGAAUUACCAAGAUUUGGGGAAAUUUAUGUGUUUAGAGAAAGCUCAUAUCUUUCUCAAGCGUCAGGGAGAUGAUUAUGACUUGGACAAUGCAUUUGAGGUUCUUUGCAGUUUCUACAGGGUUAAAUCACUUGUUCUGAGCGAGGAGACCAUUAAGGUAUUGCUCAGGGAAGGUUCCAUGCAUGCCCCCAUUGGAUGGUACUAUUUACUUGGGUAUGCAUAUUAUGAACUUAACUGGUGACCUAGUCCCUCCAAUGGUAUCUCUUCUGAGAGGAAUGCCUAAUUUGAAGACUUUGUACAUCAAUUCGUACCCUUCCUUGCACAUUGUUUAACCAAAAGCCUGUAGUUUUAAGAGGAAAUACUGGAAAUCCCAAAAUCUGGAUUGUAUUCAUCAGCUUGAGGAGGUAUCAGUAGCACUCUCCACUGGUUAUCCUACUAAUGCCUUGGAGUUAGCAACAUAUAUUCUUGAGCAUGCUCCGAAAUUGAAGAAAAUGGUCAUAUGUUAUUUACCCCACCAGUUCUAUAUUAUAGAGAGGAUAAAUAAAAGCAAAAAAAAUUCCUCUGCAACUGUUGUGUUUAAGAAAAGAGGAGUGUAUGACGAUGGAGCAAUGGGUGAAAGUUAUUAUAGGAAGCUCUUUCACUUGCACCGGUUCUGAUCUUGUACUUUUCUUAGAGGAAUGCAUGGAGGAAACCUACUCUUGUAUUUCUGUUUUUGGUAUUGUUAUCAAUGGGGUGGAAUUGUAUUUUUAUGUUUCAAAUCUUAUUGAGCUUAAAUCAGUAGUUUGUAUAUCAAAUGCAAAAUACAGGGUAUCCAGUGUUUUAAGUUACUUUGUAGGCAUGUAGCCGUGAAAUAUUGCUAUAAACAAUAGUGUUCGACAUCUUGAACUUUUUCUUUA